rnacentral:rRNA from 1 species
UACAGAGGGUGCAAGCGUUGCUCGGAAUUAUUGGGCGUAAAGGGCAGGUAGGUGGUCUCAUUUGUCUGGGGUGAAAGCCUUGAGCUUAACUCAAGAAGUGCCCCAGAAACGGUGAGACUAGAGUACUGGAGAGGGUCGUGGAAUUCCCGGUGUAGCGGUGAAAUGCGUAGAGAUCGGGAGGAACACCAGUGGCGAAGGCGGCGACCUGGACAGUAACUGACACUCAACUGCGAAAGCGUGGGGAGCAAACAGG